rnacentral:tRNA from 1 species
GAGGGUAUAGCUCAGUGGUAGAGUGCAUGCUUAGCACUGAACCCAUUCUGGGUUCAAUCCCCAGUUACCUCC